GAGAGAGGGUGCGCAGACGGCCAGCCGGGCCGCGCCAGGGACAUACUGGAGACAGGAAGUGGCUGAGAGGGGGAGAGAGUUGGAGAGAGACGGCCGCGGAGGACACGGGGACGGGAAAGUCUGAGAGACGGGGAGAGCCUGACCCGGCGGGACACAGGCAGAAAGAAACACGCGAGCCAGACAGACGCAGAAGAAACGUGCCUGGUACUGGAUAGGAACUUCAUGGAAUGGAGCUAAUGGGCCGUAGGGCAGGUUUGAGUCGUGCCACCCUGGAGCAGAAGGUGGAGGGUAGGGAUAAGGGUGGAGAGAAACUAGGAGAAAAGCACAGGAUGUAGAGGUCUAUUCGGCAUAAUCUUCUCCCUCAUUUUCAUCUUCACCAUCAACAGAGAGAGCAGCAUACUUGCUUGCAGAACUGAACUUCUGUAACACAACGAGAGUGACAGGAUAAUGAAGGCCCUGAAUUAUCACAUCAAAACCCAAGACACAGGAUACUGAUCCUUUGGCAAUGGGGGAUGACAGUCAGAUGACACCCACUUGCUUGCUCAUCAGCAUUGUCCAUUGGAGAGGAGCUAGGGAAGAGGGUCAGAGGCACAUGCGAUCUUACUAUAGUCUCAUACCACCUCUACACCUUGCAGAAGGGAUGAGAACAAAGGAAGACAGAAACCAGGAAAAAGCUAAACUUCUUUCGCUAUUUCAGUAAAGACCAAUGUCUUAUUUCCAAACACUUUGUAUUCCAAAUGGAAAGAAGUCCAACGGCAAAAAGUUUAGAAUACUAAGAAUUUUUAAUUCUUAGUAAGAAUACUUAGAAUUCUAAGAAUUUUUCUUAGAAUGAAAAAUUGGGAGCAGCCUUCAACACUUACGGAAGCUGGAUUUUCCUCAGGUUUCUUUGGCUCAGGUGCAGAUCUGGAGUCUUGAUCCUUUUUGCCAUCUUUCCUGCAGAGACGUAAGCAUAAAACCAUGUCUUUAGGAAAGGACUCGCCUAAUACAAACAUGUGUAUGCAUGCAGUUUCAAGGCACUGAACAGGCACCUCUAGUCAACAGUCCUUGUUGUCUGGAUGAUGUAUUACUUCUAGAUUUUCAGAAUCUUAACUGUCUACGUUGGCUGACUUUAGUUUGCUCACAAUGAGCGAUCUGGCAGUGCUCUGAGAACCAAGAACUUAAUUUCUUAAUUACACAAACAUGUGGAUCAGAGGAAAGAUGAGAAAGAGAACAAGCAUACCUAUCUGACUCCUUCCAGUGGUCUCUGUUCCCUCCGUCGCCUGGACCACGGCUAGAGUUCCCAGUUUGGCCUUUUGGGGCAUUCAUCCCAUCUACUUUAUUUUCAUCUGCUUGGGCAGUAAUGUAAACAAAUUAAAGGCAAGUAAAAGUAUCAAUGUCCCUCUCCUAAGAUUUCCCUUAAGCUGAAGAAAAUUGUGCCCACAUGUACUGAGGGAAACUAACCUCACCCCAACCCAGACUUCCUUCCUGAAGCCCUUCUUUCCACAUCCUCUACAGCACACAAAAAUACAAAAAACAAACAAAAUCCACUAAAAAGUUCCAUGUAGGGAUAUGCCAUCAUGAAAAGCAAG
rnacentral:lncRNA from 1 species